rnacentral:lncRNA from 1 species
AACUUGAAGGUAUACCAAAUGUUUUACAUUUUAUAUCAUUUGAUUCUCACAACAACCUAAGAGUUAGGUAUUAUUAUUAUCCCUAUUUUAUAGAUGAGGAAUGAAGGCAUAAGUGACUUGUCCAGGGCCUGGUGCCAGAUUAAUUCACCUUUCCAUGACUCCAAAUCCAGCAAUAUCUAUCUCUAUACUAUUACUAUGAUAUCAGAGGCAAAGCUUUAGCAGUGGGAGAGAGAAGGGGUCUGGGGAUGAGAGGGAGACCCCUUAAAAGGGCCCCUUCCCAAAAGGAUUUAAUGGAAUUAUCAUCUUUAAAAAGUGAAUGGGAAAUCCUUAUUUUCACUUAGGAUGAGAGAAUUUUUUAAAGACAGUUUUGCUUGGAACACGUACAGUUUAUUUUCUUUGUUUCAAAUCAUAGAAGAAAGCUGCACAUGAAGGUGGAGAGGAGGAGAUGUAAUGCUGUGGUGUGACAGGUAGAAGCUUUGUCAGCAUGGGGUGGAGAAAAGAAUAAACAGAUUCAUUUGUCACUUUAAAAUACCUCAAUUCCAAUUUCUUUUCAAAAUGAGAGCAAGAACCCAUUGAAACAAUGUUGAUUAGUAGGAACAGGUCUAUUUUUAAAUAAUGGUAAUUAACUCUAAUUAAACUCCCCCUAAGUUCCCCAGCUUUGAGGUUGAUUUUUUUAACAUAACUAAAAUAACCCAAAACCCCCCAAAAGAAAGACCAAAUUUAUUCAUGAGGCUCCCUUUCCCCACAAUUUUUGUCAUUCUAUUUAAAAUACUAUUUAAAAUUUAAAAAUUUAAAAUGUCUCUCUCUCUCUCUCUCUUUCUUUCUUUCUUUCUUUCUUUCUUUCUUUCUUUCUUUUCCUUCCUUCCUUCAUUCAUUCCUUUGUUCAUUCUUUCCUUCUUACUUUAUUUCCUAACUCCCUUCUCUCUCCCUCUUUCUUUUUCUUUUUUCUUUCUUUCUAAAGAAUAAUAUAUUAUCUAACUGGGAAGCAACAUGAACCAUUUCAUGAUUUUUAAUUAGUUCUAAAUUCUUUUCUUCUAUUAAGCCCCAUUUUACUUAUUUAGA